ensembl:lncRNA
CACACUGUGCUGUAAAAUUAUUAAACAUCUCAAUAACAACAACACACCUGCUUUAAGGAGAAAAUCAAAACUGUUCUUUAGUUUUGUCUGCUUUCAACAGAAAAUGUCAUUUGCAGCAUUAAGUGACUUCAUCCUCACUACAAUCAGUUACAUAUGCGCCCCCAUAAAGAAUAUGUUUAUACUAUAAAAAGAGUCGCCAAUAAAGCACACUAAGAAGGAAAGGAAAGAAGGAAAACACGUGCAGUCUUUUCAUUUAAAUGUAUAUUUUUAAGUUUAAAAUCAAACCAAACGCUAUGCCAGCUUCUCGCUUUGCUUGACAGUGUGUAAAACAAACUCCUAGAAAACUUCAAACAAACACAUUCAAAGUUUCAGGGCUGUGAGCAAAAACGAAGCCGUCUGAGCCCCCAAAACAGCUGUAAAUCAGUGUGGUCGUUACAGUGAAUACCGCAGUCUUUUCUCUGUAUGUUUUACUAAAUAAAUUGAUUUAUUGUGAGCAGCACGAAUGUUAACAGAUGGAGAAAUUUGCUGAAGCACACCGUUCACUAUAGUCACAGAUGUGUCUUUAACAGUCUCAUUAUUUUUCUUCUCUUGUUUGUAUGAAAACAUCUGCUGAUCACAAUUAUUGACAGUCUAUAAUAAGUAGCUUUGUUUUUAAUUGUGCAGGGCAUGUCUGCAUCAUUAUAAAGGGGGUGGGGUUGGGUUUCGAAGCCUCAAUACAGUUUCGAGACAAAUGCUUCGAAUGUUUCAGUGUUACAAAGCCUCGCUUUGCCCAUCACUAGACAAAACCCACACUGUAAAAUGUAAUUCUAGAUGUUUGUUAUUUCAACAUAUUAUUCUAUAUCAGUUUGACGAUAGAUGACUGAAGUUGUUGUUAUAACAUAGAAUUACAAGUUAAAAACGUCCCAAUUACACCAAAAAAAGCUAACUUGAAAACUCAUGUCCAGCUAAAUCAGCAACUUAUGUGAACUUGACAAUGUGGGUAAGUUGAGCACAGCAGGAUUCAAAACUGCCUCACGUGACUGCUACCGAGGUGCAUCAUGGGGAAUUGGCGGUUAACGACAUGCUCACUUUACUUGGACGUUUUCUAAUCGUCUUCUUUGGAAUAUGCUUUCAAGGUCUGUGAAGCCAAACUUGAUGCUGGGGAUUUAUUUUUGUCAGUGGAGUCAAAUGGUCUAGAUGAUCACAUCUGUCUUUGUCAUUUAAAUGAGGUGGACUUGCAAACUUUGCGCUCUUUUGGGUUGAAGCAGAAUUUGCCCGUCUUACAUCUGUUGACCUGAAAGGGUUCCUUUUUGCUGUGCUUGACCAUUAUGGAGAGGUUCGUGGAGCUGUACAAAAUCAAGAGCGGCAUAGGAGGGCUAACUAGGCUCAUAAGAUGCUUCGGUGAUGAUAGCCCUACACAAAGGAAGAGGACAGAGGACCUCAUUUUCUAAAGGAAGAUCCUCACACACUUUCAAGACUGUGAAGCCGACAGGUAUUGAAGACACGUUUUCUAAGAGGAUGAAAGUUGGCAUUGCGAUGGUGAAAGAAGAAGACAUCAUCGAUGUGUUGGUUGUCCU